AAUAGAUACCCUGGUAGUCCACGCCGUAAACGAUGUCGACUUGGAGGUUGUUCCCUUGAGGAGUGGCUUCCGGAGCUAACGCGUUAAGUCGACCGCCUGGGGAGUACGGCCGCAAGGUUAAAACUCAAAUGAAUUGACGGGGGCCCGCACAAGCGGUGGAGCAUGUGGUUUAAUUCGAUGCAACGCGAAGAACCUUACCUACUCUUGACAUCCAGAGAACUUAGCAGAGAUGCUUUGGUGCCUUCGGGAACUCUGAGACAGGUGCUGCAUGGCUGUCGUCAGCUCGUGUUGUGAAAUGUUGGGUUAAGUCCCGCAACGAGCGCAACCCUUAUCCUUUGUUGCCAGCGGUUCGGCCGGGAACUCAAAGGAGACUGCCAGUGAUAAACUGGAGGAAGGUGGGGAUGACGUCAAGUCAUCAUGGCCCUUACGAGUAGGGCUACACACGUGCUACAAUGGCGUAUCAAAGAGAAGCGACCUCGCGAGAGCAAGCGGACCUCAUAAAGUACGUCGUAGUCCGGAUUGGAGU
rnacentral:rRNA from 1 species